rnacentral:misc_RNA from 1 species
GAUGAAGAACGUAGCGAAAUGCGAUAAGUAGUGUGAAUUGCAGAAUUCAGUGAAUCAUCGAAUCUUUGAACGCACAUUGCGCCCUUUGGUAUUCCUUAGGGCAUGCCUGUUCGAGCGUCAUUUAAACCUUCAAGCUAAGCUUGGUGUUGGGUGACUGUCCGCUUCACGGCGGACUCGCCUCAAAAUUAUUGGCGGCCGGUACAUUGGCUUCGAGCGCAGCAGAAACGCGAACUCUGGCCCGUCGUAUUGGCUCCCAGAAGCUAUCUUCACAAUUUUGACCUCGGAUCAGGUAGGGAUACCCGCUGAACUUAAGCAUAUCAAUAAGCGGAGGA